AUUGAACGCUGGCGGCAGGCCUAACACAUGCAAGUCGAGCGGAUGAAGGGAGCUUGCUCCUGGAUUCAGCGGCGGACGGGUGAGUAAUGCCUAGGAAUCUGCCUGGUAGUGGGGGAUAACGUCCGGAAACGGGCGCUAAUACCGCAUACGUCCUGAGGGAGAAAGUGGGGGAUCUUCGGACCUCACGCUAUCAGAUGAGCCUAGGUCGGAUUAGCUAGUUGGUGGGGUAAAGGCCUACCAAGGCGACGAUCCGUAACUGGUCUGAGAGGAUGAUCAGUCACACUGGGACUGAGACACGGUCCAGAGUCCUACGGGAGGCAGCAGUGGGGAAUAUUGGACAAUGGGCGAAAGAGUGAUACAGAGAUACCGCGUGUGUGAAGAAGGUCUUCGGAUUGUAAAGCACUUUAAGUUGGGAGGAAGGGCAGUAAGUUAAUACCUUGCUGUUUUGACGUUACCAACAGAAUAAGCACCGGCUAACUUCGUG
rnacentral:rRNA from 1 species